GAUAAGAUGCCUGAAUUAAAAGGAUUAUUUUGAUAGAAUAAAUUAUGUAUAAAAUACUCUUAUUA
rnacentral:tRNA from 1 species